GGUGCGGUAGCGCAAUUGGUAGCGCAAUAGUUUGUUUUAUGAUAAAAUUCUCUCCAAAUGGCUAAUUAUCAUAUACUUCGUCUACGCUAUGGGCUGCAGGUUCGAGUCCUGCCCGCACCA
rnacentral:tRNA from 1 species